rnacentral:rRNA from 1 species
GUGAGGAAUUUUCCGCAAUGGGCGAAAGCCUGACGGAGCAAUGCCGCGUGAAGGAUGAAGGCCUAUGGGUUGUAAACUUCUUUUCUCAGAAAAGAAUUAUGACGGUAUCUGAGGAAUAAGCAUCGGCUAACUCUGUGCCAGCAGCCGCGGUAAGACAGAGGAUGCAAGCGUUAUCCGGAAUGAUUGGGCGUAAAGCGGCUGUAGGUUGUUUAAAAAGUAUUCUGUCAAAGAUUAGGGCUUAACCCUAGAUAGGGAUAAUAAACUUUUAAGCUAGAGUUUGGUAGAGGCAGAGGGAAUUCCCGGUGGAGCGGUGAAAUGCGUAGAUAUCGGGAGGAACACCAAAGGCGAAGGCACUCUGCUGGGCCAAUACUAACACUGAGAGACGAAAGCGAGGGGAGCAAAUGGGAUUAGAUACCCGGGUAGUCC